rnacentral:rRNA from 1 species
UCCGAGGAGUGAAGCUGGCGGCGUGCUUAACACAGUGCAAGUCGAACGAAGCACCUGAGAAUUGAUUCUUCGGAUGAAGUCUCUUGUGACUGAGUGGCGGACGGGUGAGUAACGCGUGGGUAACCUGCCUCACGACAGGGGGAUAACAGUUGGAAACGACCGCUAUACCGCAUAACCGCUGGUGCCGCAUGGCACUGACGGAAAGAUUUUAUCGGUGUGAGAUGGACCCGCGUCUGAUUAGCCAGUUGGCAGGGUAACGGCCGUACCAAAGCGACGAUCAGUAGCCGGCCUGAGAGGGUGAACGGCCACAUUGGGACUGAGACACGGCCCAGACUCCUGCGGAAGGCAGCAGUGGGGAAUAUUGCACAAUGGGGGAAACCCUGAUGCAGCGACGCCGCGUGAGUGAAGAAGUAUUUCGGUAUGUAAAGCUCUAUCAGCAGGGAAGAAAAUGACGGUACCUGACUAAGAAGCCCCGGCUAACUACGUG